AAAGCCUUAAGUUAAAUUAAACUAUUAACCUUCAAAGUUAAAAAUAUAUUAGCAUGUG
rnacentral:tRNA from 1 species